UUGCUGGUAUAUCUAUACUUUAGUUUCACUUUUGUUCUUUGUCAUGUUUUUCCUCCUCUCUUCCUCUUGACACACAUAAACCUACUCAUAGAUGUCUUAUCUCUCUUUCAUCUUGGAUUUAUGCUUAGCUCCAAUUAAUCUGGACCAAGUUUUCUAAUUAGUUUUAUUUUAUAAAAACAGAGGUGACUCUGAAUAUGGUCAGGAAACUUAUUGCGAGUAUGUUAUACUGGGAUGUGGUCCAAUUAAUCCAAUUU
rnacentral:lncRNA from 1 species